rnacentral:tRNA from 1 species
UUGGGGCGUAGCCAAGCGGUAAGGCAACGGACUUUGGAUCCGUCAUCCGAAGGUUCGAAUCCUUCCGCCCCAGCCAU